UUUAGAAACUGGAGCUAUAACCCAGAACUGUUCAUCUAGGGCAAAAAGAGCCAAGCAGGAGCAUGUUUCAGAGGAUGGGCUGACCUCUGUGGUUGCAGUUAUUCCAGAAGAAGAGGAUGGAUUAGGAUUGGUGCUACGGCUCUGAUGUAGCUGAAAGAUGGAAAAAAAAAGCCUCAAAGACAUGUGGUUUUACAUCUGAGGGGGCCCAGAGCCGAACUUGAUCUUUCCAAAGUCAACAGUCAGUUGGCUCCACGUUCACCUUUUCUGACAGUAGCAGAGAAAUAAUUUAAGUGUUUCAAGAAAAAUGACCAUUCUGGGCCAAAUACAUCUCUCUUUUGUGACUCCAUUAUUUCAAAAGCAGAGGCCCUGAGAACCUGAGAACCAGCAAUAUGGAGAAGAUGAAAGAAAGAGCAAGGAUGGCAGCUCCAGGAGGAAUGGAAAGUGUGAGCCCCUUGAGGGAAGGAACCAUCUGUAAUCAUUUCUCGUGUUUCCAUCCCCAGGCCCUGGUAUGGUGAG